rnacentral:misc_RNA from 1 species
GUAGGUGAACCUGCGGAAGGAUCAUUAAAACGUUCCAAACGUAUAAACCAAUCGUGAACUUAUCACCCUUUGAGGUAAAGAAGUCAAAUUGGCAGGCUGCUAUCUUUGUGAUGGAUGCAGUCUGUUGCGGGUCAAACCGCCUUUACUUUGAAGUGGUUCUCCAUCACUACUAUAACUUACUAAACUAUUAUGAACUGACUUGUUGUUUAUUGAGCUUCGGCUCACGUAACAAUCUUUACGAAAAUUACGAACAACUCUUAACAACGGAUAUCUUGGUUCUC